rnacentral:rRNA from 1 species
GCAUAUCAAUAAGCGGAGGAAAAGAAACCAACAGGGAUUGCCCUAGUAACGGCGAGUGAAGCGGCAACAGCUCAAAUUUGAAAUCUGGCUUCGGCCCGAGUUGUAAUUUGCAGAGGAAGCUUUAGGCGCGGCACCUUCUGAGUCCCCUGGAACGGGGCGCCAUAGAGGGUGAGAGCCCCGUAUAGAUGGAUGCCUAGCCUGUGUAAAGCUCCUUCGACGAGUCGAGUAGUUUGGGAAUGCUGCUCAAAAUGGGAGGUAAAUUUCUUCUAAAGCUAAAUACCGGCCAGAGACCGAUAGCGCACAAGUAGAGUGAUCGAAAGAUGAAAAGCACUUUGAAAAGAGGGUUAAACAGCACGUGAAAUUGUUGAAAGGGAAGCGCUUGUGACCAGACUUGCGCCGGGCGGAUCAUCCGGUGUUCUCACCGGUGCACUCCGCCCGGCUCAGGCCAGCAUCGGUUCUCGCGGGGGGAUAAAGGCCCUGGGAACGUAGCUCCUCCGGGAGUGUUAUAGCCCGGGGCGUAAUGCCCUCGCGGGGACCGAGGACCGCGCAUCUGCAAGGAUG